GGAGGGGGUGCUGGGGGUGCCCGCCCCGCCCUCACGGUGGAGCGCAGAGAACGUGUUUUAACCUUCACUAUCAGAGAGCCCGCCUCGAACUCUGUGCUUAUGUAAUUCUCCAGAAAAAAAAAAGAAAGAAAAGAAAAAGAAAAAAGCACCGCACCUGUCAGGCACACCCACCUCCUGCAGCCGAGAACCCCCGCAGCACUGACCCAGCGCUGAAUGUCUGCAGAAGGUCCCGCACGGCUCCGCGCCGCCUCACAGGCCUUGCUACACCUGUUUUAAAGAGGAAGAAACUGAGGUCCUGGGAUGUUGGGUGACUUGCCUGCGAUUUCCCAGCGGGAGAGCAUCGGUAAAGAUGGAGCAAUUGAGAUCUAAGCAAUAGGAAGUCUGCAGAAUGGGAGUUUCUGGGGAGAGGACCAAGGAGGAGUCUGAGGACUCUAGUGGGAAGCCUGAAGAUACAUACUUUCUCUCCAACAGUCAAGAAAAAGCCAAGAGACCUGAAGUGGAGCUUGAGAGGGUGAGAAGUUGAGGAAGUUCAAGCUACAAGCAACCUUCUCUCCAUAAAUAAAAAAUGGCAAGGCACCUGCUGAAAGAAGGGAGGUCAGGUGUGGGCUUGGGAAUGAGUAGAAAUGAAACUUUUUAACAGUGACUGUGCAGUACCACAGUAUGAUGUUGCUAACCUGCUAAAUUUGGUUUACGUGAAUUUGUGAAGAUGCCAAUUCGACUUUCUUUUUUUUUUUUUUUUUUUUUUUUUUAAAGAAGGAUCUUGAUAAUUCCUCUUAAGUCUGGUGGGUUUCUGUUAAAAUCCCUGAGGGUUUUGUAUCAACACAUACAAACAAAUAAUUAUAAAAGUAACUGUAUCUCUCACAUGUCAACAUUAGUGAAAAUACACAAACCACUGACUUAUGUGAUUAAAAGUUUUGUUACUAAGGGGAAAUUAAAUGAACUCAAUAAAACUGUCUUACCUA